rnacentral:rRNA from 1 species
UACGAAGGGGGCAAGCGUUGUUCGGAAUUACUGGGCGUAAAGGGCGCGUAGGCGGAAGCGCAAGUCAGAGGUGAAAGGCCUGGGCUCAACCCGGGAAUUGCCUUUGAAACUGUGCAUCUAGAGUGCGAGAGAGGGUGGCGGAAUACCCAGUGUAGAGGUGAAAUUCGUAGAUAUUGGGUAGAACACCAGUGGCGAAGGCGGCCACCUGGCUCGCAACUGACGCUGAGGCGCGAAAGCGUGGGGAGCAAACAGG